rnacentral:rRNA from 1 species
AGAGUUUGAUCCUGGCUCAGGAUGAACGCUAGCGGCAGGCCUAAUACAUGCAAGUCGAACGAGAGAAGGGAGCUUGCUCCCGGAUCUAGUGGCGCACGGGUGCGUAACGCGUAUGCAACCUACCUUAAUCAGGGGGAUAGCCUCUCGAAAGAGAGAUUAACACCGCAUAAAAUCACAGACCGGCAUCGGUUAAUGAUCAAAUAUUUAUAGGAUUAAGAUGGGCAUGCGUGACAUUAGUUUGUUGGUGAGGUAACGGCUCACCAAGACUACGAUGUCUAGGGGAUCUGAGAGGAUGACCCCCCACACUGGUACUGAGACACGGACCAGACUCCUACGGGAGGCAGCAGUAAGGAAUAUUGGUCAAUGGAGGCAACUCUGAACCAGCCAUGCCGCGUGCAGGAAGACAGCCCUAUGGGUCGUAAACUGCUUUUAUUGGGGAAUAACCUCCUGUAUGUAUACAGGACUGAAUGUACCCAAGGAAUAAGGAUCGGCUAACUCCGUGCCAGCAGCCGCGGUAAUACGGAGGAUCCAAGCGUUAUCCGGAUUUAUUGGGUUUAAAGGGUGCGUAGGCGGCCUAUUAAGUCAGGGGUGAAAGACGGUGGCUCAACCAUCGCAGUGCCUUUGAUACUGAUGGGCUUGAAUGCAGCUGAGGUAGGCGGAAUGUGACAAGUAGCGGUGAAAUGCAUAGAUAUGUCACAGAACACCGAUUGCGAAGGCAGCUUACUAAAGUGCAAUUGACGCUGAGGCACGAAAGCGUGGGGAUCAAACAGGAUUAGAUACCCUGGUAGUCCACGCCCUAAACGAUGAAUACUCGAUGUUAGCGAUAUACAGUUAGCGUCUAAGCGAAAGCGUUAAGUAU